rnacentral:rRNA from 1 species
CACGGGGGGAGCAAGCGUUGUUCGGAUUCAUUGGGCGUAAAGGGCUCGUAGGUGGCUUUGUAAGUCGGAGGUGAAAUCCCACGGCUCAACCGUGGACACGCCUUCGAAACUGUGAAGCUUGAGGCUGGGAGAGGAGAUCGGAAUUCCAGGUGUAGCGGUGAAAUGCGUAGAUAUCUGGAGGAACACCGGUGGCGAAGGCGGCGUUCUGGACUGCAACUGACACUGAGAGACGAAAGCCAGGGGAGCAAACGGG